rnacentral:tRNA from 1 species
GGUUCUAUAGUGUAGUUGGUUAUCACUUCGGAUUCUGAUUCCUCGUUGUAAAGACGCUGUGAGAAGUUUCCGGCGACCCCGGUUCGAGUCCGGGUAGGACCU